AUGAACGCUGGCGGCGUGCCUAAUACAUGCAAGUCGAGCGAACAGACGAGGAGCUUGCUCCUCUGACGUUAGCGGCGGACGGGUGAGUAACACGUGGAUAACCUACCUAUAAGACUGGGAUAACUUCGGGAAACCGGAGCUAAUACCGGAUAAUAUAUUGAACCGCAUGGUUCAAUAGUGAAAGACGGUUUUGCUGUCACUUAUAGAUGGAUCCGCGCCGCAUUAGCUAGUUGGUAAGGUAACGGCUUACCAAGGCAACGAUGCGUAGCCGACCUGAGAGGGUGAUCGGCCACACUGGAACUGAGAUACGGUCCAGACUCCUACGGGAGGCAGCAGUAGGGAAUCUUCCGCAAUGGGCGAAAGCCUGACGGAGCAACGCCGCGUGAGUGAUGAAGGUCUUCGGAUCGUAAAACUCUGUUAUUAGGGAAGAACAAAUGUGUAAGUAACUAUGCACGUCUUGACGGUACCUAAUCAGAAAGCCACGGCUAACUACGUG
rnacentral:rRNA from 1 species